rnacentral:rRNA from 1 species
UACGAGGGGGGCUAGCGUUGCUCGGAAUCACUGGGCGUAAAGGGUGCGUAGGCGGGGUUUUAAGUCAGGGGGGAAAUCCUGGAGCUCAACUCCAGAACUGCCUUUGAUACUGAAGAUCUCGAGUCCGGGAGAGGUGAGUGGAACUGCGAGUGUAGAGGUGAAAUUCGUAGAUAUUCGCAAGAACACCAGUGGCGAAGGCGGCUCACUGGCCCGGUACUGACGCUGAGGCACGAAAGCGUGGGGAGCAAACAGG